GGGCUGUGGUUACAAGGAGGGGCAGAUCUCAGAUCCCCUCCAGCUGGGCUCUGGUGGGCUGUGGUUAGGUGGAGCAGAAGACCCCCCCCCCCAGAGGAGAAGCAGAAGACCCCCAAGAUCCUGUGAGUGGUUCCCAGUGGCUGUGGUUAGGUGGAGCAGAAGACCCCCAGAGGAGGAGCAGGAGCCCCCCAAUGUCCUGUGUAAUGAGAUGGAGUCAAAAUAGCCCUGAAAGAGCCCAUAGGCAGCUGAGGAAGGAGCCAAGGGCAGGAGGAGCUGGCUUGAACCCAGCCAGGAGAAGUAAACACCAACAGAUGACUGAGUGGCAGUGAACUCUGGAGGAUUCAGCACUCACCACUUCCCCAUGAUGAGCAGCUGCCACCCAGCCAUGACGAGCACCAUUCUCAGCACCCAGCACCUCAUCAUCUCCCCAUCAUGAGUACCUAUGACCAGCAGCAUUGUCAGCACUCGUGACCUUCUCAUCACCAGCACCCAUCAUCUCACCAUUACCUCCCCAUGACCAGCACACUGUUGUAAUGGCUUGCUUUCAAUUUUGCUCAUCUCUUACAACAGGGAGUAAAGGAAGGCUCAGAAACAGAGGAUAAUGAGGGCUAUUUGUAUGUCCAAGUGUCCAUUUAUCCAUUUACACCACCAAGUGUCCAUUCCUCUCCAUCCAUUAAUGUGUUCAU